AAGUGACACAGUGCAGACAUGUCGCGCGCAGUCCGGUUGAUAUCUGACUGGCCCUGGUACAUACGCUCGUUUGUUACGAUAUCCACGUAAAAUUUGAUCGAUGUCGAUUAAAAUUCGUAGUCUUUAGGUUGCUGAUACAAAAGACACAGUUGUACGUUCUAUUGGUGGAGUUCUACAAGUGAACUUUACAUAUUCAUCACGCGACGACAGAAUCACCACGGAACUGUACCAAUUUAAAACAUUUAAGCUUGUUUUCCCUAAAAUCGUGAUCCUGGAGUUACGCCAUUGUUUUAGCAAAUGAGCGAUACGUACAUACUCUCGGUCAUAAAUGUUAGAACUAUUAAUUUCAGGCGAGACAAUAAAAAUUGAUCUGGGUAAUAGGACGACUAAUCGAUCACAAAAAUUUGGGAAAGUCAUUGGCAAAAGUUAUAGAAAAAUAUAAUAAGUUUGGGAUCUCAUACCCCUCGCGAUCUUAUGAUUCGGACCACCCUUAAAAAUGUAUUGAGAUUCGAGAUAAGGAAUAAGGUGGACUAUUAUACGUGUUGGUUUAUUAAAGAGACGAGUGAUAAAAUUGUAAUAGUCGGUGUAUAUCACUUUGACUGCCACGCCAAAAUCACACGUUUCGCUCAGGACGCCAUAGGAGUAUUUUUAUUAUUCAAAGCAUAUAAUGGCAAAAUAAUAAUAAAUCGAUGGUGUAAAACAACAUUCUUCCCCAAUGGACCGUUUAUCUUAUUGGUGAUCACGGGUGACCAUCGUGGCGUCUUGGUAACAGUUGAUAGCGACAUAUUAUAACGAGGCUUCGUUUAUUUCAACAAACCAUUGGCAUUCGUUACUUCGUCGUAAGCAAAACGUGCAGAAUAUAUUGUUGAAACGUGUAGAAGAUAUUAGUAAACGGUAUUUGCUCGUUCUAUAUGUAUUAGUAAGGUAUGUUCACACUUCUAACUUCAAUUAUACGAUUAUAAAGCAGCAUUUACGAUUAUUUUCUAAGCUGUGUUUAUAAUAAUAUUCGUAGAUUACCCCUCGAAGAUAUGGAUGCAAACACAGUGCACAGUUAGAUGCAAGAUUUGUUCUCAUUUUUUUUAUCGAUGUUCUAAUAAAAAUGUUUAAUUGUUCAAUGGGGCACUUUUUAUUUCAAAGUAUCUUCUAUUUAUCGGUUAUAUUCAAAAUGCCCUAACUGUCAAUUUUCAUACAAUUUUUACAGUUGUAAGGAGCUCAAGCGCUCCGGUGACCACUGUGGCGUCAUAGGAAAAACCGUGGCCGGUCAUAUAUGAUCAACGUGGCAGUCAAAGUGUUACAAUCGCUUUAAAUACAAAAUACAGAGGUAGUUUAUGCCGCUGGUAAUCGUCGCUGGCUCAAUGCUACUGUUCAACUCUACGCUCGCUAUUCGACUGUAUGACUCAGUAUAAUGAUCGUCCUGGAGAGCACAUUCGUCUGUUUGUAUCGACCGACGGUAUUGUAAAAAGUUUGAAUAUAACUCCGGUUGACGAUUACAAACAACAGCGAUGAUAUUUUGUCCGGAGUUCGUUUACCUUUAAACAUAGCAAACCAAAACAACGUUGGCACUCCAAGGCACAAUAACGUGAGUCUCUCUCGAUUGGAAUUUUCCAUUGACUCAUGUGCCGCUACAAAUGGAAUAUUUAACAAUACAAAUGCCAAAGUUAAAGGAAACAGAGUUGGAGAAAAAAUAUUGAAUUUUAUCACUUAUAAAAUUCUUAUUACAUUAUAGAACAUGUGGAUUCUCCCCUGCCCGUACUUCCAUCGACAUAGCCACAAAAGCUUUAGCAAGACCCUAAUGAUUUUUCAUACAUGUUCGUAUUUUAUUAACCUUCACGUAAAAUGUAUCCCUUGCUUCAUGCGAUUCAGUGAAUUCUGAUUGUAAGAAUUUAGUACGAAAGUGAUAACUAUCGGAAGGAAAUACGACACGAUUCAAACACUCGAAUGCGGUGCGAGUGCAACAGAAUUAGUAAAUAUACACGGCGCUGCAAGAGUCGCAAACACGGACAUUAAAACACAAAAACAUGAUACAUGAAAAUUAUGCGAAGCACGUAGAUUCCAUGGCAACGGUAGGAAAGCUACAAAUAUAUUGAUUGUGUAAAUGAUUUUACACAAAUGGGAACAGCAAACGAAAGUGAUAAUGAUACGAUGGCUUCUCAUGCCGAAGUAUUCGUGGAAUUUGAAAAGGAGCUGGGAAGGUUCGAAAUACAAAAUAAAUCUAAUUCAAUAUAGUUACUUGUGUUGAAAGAAUUACGUGGUCUAACAGCCAAAGAGAGCGAAAUACAUACAUUAAAAAACAAAACUAGCAGUAGUUUGUUCGUUUCAGCUUACUAGCCCAGAAAUUCGACUUGGUUACAUAGGUUACGAUAUAUACAUUAUGUUUAUAAUUCGUUGCCGAACCUGCCUUACGUAAUUAUUUAUUUCCUUGCUUUCUAUUCUGAAAUUGCCUUUGGUUUGUUAUAAAACACUUUUCUUUUUUAAAACUAACUGAAACUAUUUCAUUG